rfam:Dichomitus squalens LYAD-421 SS1 unplaced genomic scaffold DICSQscaffold_4, whole genome shotgun sequence.
CCUUCGAUAGCUCAGUUGGAAGAGCGUGGGACUGUAAUGGCUACCCGGCUCAUCCCAAGGUCACUGGUUCGAUCCCGGUUCGAAGGA